rnacentral:rRNA from 1 species
CCUACGGGAGGUAGCAGUAAGGAAUAUUGGUCAAUGGACGCAAGUCUGAACCAGCCAUGCCGCGUGGAGGAUGAAGGUCCUCUGGAUUGUAAACUUCUUUUAUUUGGGAAGAAACCCACGAUUUCUAUUGUGGUUGACGGUACCAGAUGAAUAAGCACCGGCUAACUCCGUGCCAGCAGCCGCGGUAAUACGGAGGGUGCAAGCGUUAUCCGGAUUCACUGGGUUUAAAGGGUGCGUAGGCGGGCAGGUAAGUCAGUGGUGAAAUCUCCGAGCUUAACUUGGAAACUGCCGUUGAUACUAUCUGUCUUGAAUGCUGUGGAGGUAAGCGGAAUAUGUCAUGUAGCGGUGAAAUGCUUAGAUAUGACAUAGAACACCUAUUGCGAAGGCAGCUUGCUACACAGAAAUUGACGCUGAGGCACGAAAGCGUGGGGAUCAAACAGGAUUAGAUACCCUGGUAGUCCACGCCCUAAACGAUGGAUACUCGACAUCAGCGAUACACAGUGUAGUGUGUGAGACGAAAGACGAGUUAAGUUAAGUACCGUACCGUUACGGGAAGGUAACGACCGGACGAAGGUUAGUUAACGUUAAAGGUAAGUUAGACGGACGUUGAGACGAGCGACGGACGACGACGAGGGAGGAGGAG